UCCCCCGUGAGGGGGCAGUCUCGCCUGAAAUGUAUAACAGACAACGAGGGUUGCGUUCGUUACCCCACUGAAGGGAACAGCUCAAGCCACGAACUGACGACGACCAUGCAUCACCUGCCCAGCACCCUCGAAGGAUUCCUCCGUUUCUGGAGGCGUGCAGCUGGAUUUCUAGCCCGGGUAAGGUUCUUCGCUUGCCGACGAAUUAAGCCACAUGAUCCACCCCUUGUGCGAGUCCCCGUCUAUUCCUUUGAGUUUUAAGCUUGCGCUCGUACUACCCAGGCGGCUCGCUUACCGCGUUAGCUUAGUCUCACAGAGGGUCGAUACUCCGUAAAACGAGCGAGCAGCGUUUAGGGCUAGGACUAC
rnacentral:misc_RNA from 1 species